rnacentral:rRNA from 1 species
UACGUAGGGUGCAAGCGUUAAUCGGAAUUACUGGGCGUAAAGCGUGCGCAGGCGGUUUUGUAAGUCUGUCGUGAAAGCCCCGGGCUCAACCUGGGAAUUGCGAUCGAGACUGCAAGGCUUGAAUCUGGCAGAGGGGGGUAGAAUUCCACGUGUAGCAGUGAAAUGCGUAGAGAUGUGGAGGAACACCGAUGGCGAAGGCAGCCCCCUGGGUCAAGAUUGACGCUCAUGCACGAAAGCGUGGGGAGCAAACAGG